ACAGUUUUGAUUCUGUCCGGCGCCUCUAAAUCUCCAAGAAAAUAAAAUAAUAAUAAAAAAAAGUUUCUGUAGUCUGUAUCGGAAGUUUAAAUUUGAAGCUUUGUUGUCGUUUAAAUUUUUAUCAUGAAGGAAAACAGAAAACAUUAAAUUUAUCUCACCACGUCAUACACAGACUCAGCGAUUCACCAUCGCCACUACACCAUCAACACCACCGUUACCAGCUAAAUUAUCACCACGACACAGCCAUACUGCAGUGGAAGAUGAGUAGGGUUAACUACAUUGAGCACAUUUUGGUACCUUUUUGUUUAUCCACUCUCAAUUUUGGCUAACCAUACAACUAAAGUUCAGGUAUUGGUCCAGGUUUACUUAAUUCUUCGGAUUCUUGCAAAAUUCAGCAAUUGUGUUUCCUCUUAUUGGGAUGGAUAGGUCAGGCAAUGAUAUAACCAAGAUAUCACUAGCAUGUAGCUUCCUUCGAUAGAUCAAGUGCAGGAGUUUGACUCAAAGAUUAGUUGUUUAAUGAAGAACACACUACCUCAUCCCCGUUGAAGUCCUAUACUAAUCGAGUUAGAAAGACAAAGGCAUGCUCAACUACAGGUCCACCGAGUUUUGACCAAACAAAAACGUAAUAAUGUGACUGAAAAUGAAAAGGAAGUACAUCUACAAGGACGUCGCAAUGAUCAUAAUUCAAUGACUGAAAUUGAGAAGGAUGCAAAUCUACAAAGACGUCGAAAUGUUUAUACGAAGAAAACAAGAGGUGGUGACGA